rnacentral:piRNA from 1 species
UCUUGAUCUACGACUCCAGGGUGAA